UUAGUUGAACCACCACUUGAAAGAUUAAAACUUAAAUUGUCACUAUCAAGAUGUGUUUUAUUACCCCCAAUUAACCCCCUAAUUCACUCCAUUUGUUAGGUUUAGAAGUGUUACUAUGGAGACCUUUAAAGCCAAUAUUUUUAAACUAGUAUUUUGCUUCAAACACAUACACAUACACGUUGACAUUAUAUGUUAUAUCAUUAUGUGUUGUUGACGAUGUACAUUGUACAAGUCAAAAUAAAUUGUCUGUCUGUCUGUCUGUCUGUCUGUCUGUCUGUCUGUCUGUCUGACAUAAUAAGGCCUAUACAAAUCUUUGUUUACACCCAUUUGAAUUUAUUUUUUUCUUCCUAUUUUUUUUUUUUUUUUUUUUGCGUUUUGAUCAAAAUGCGUUUUUUCAGAGACCUAAAAUAAUACCCUGAUACAGGUCAGUUUGCUGAAGAAUUAUGUUCGUCCAAAAAAAAGUAAUGCCUACCUAUCUACCCUUUUUUGGGGGGAUGUUAGUAGAAACUAAGAAUAUUUGUUUCGCCUAAUCAAGGAUUUAAUUUGAAGACAGUUUUGCUGCAUACUGUAUAUAUUUUUACUUUAUUACAUUGCAUUGUGUGGGAGUAGGAUUUGAUAUAUUGGUGCAAGGUAUUUUGAUUAUAACAAUUCCAGGAAGUUUAUCAAAAUGCUAAUCUUUAUGCAAGAUGUGUCAUGUUUGGUGUCAUUAUUUUGCUUUUAUAAUUCACUUCUAUAUUUAAUAAAAUGUGACGCGUCAUGAGACUUUUGGCCCGAAACCCAUAGCCUCGAUUUCUAGAAAAACGUGCGCAAAGUUGAAGCGUAAAGAAUAAUAAAUAAACGAAGUAUUUAUCGUAAAAAGAACCAUUAAACAUUUUGUCACCCUAGAUUGUUCAGUCAAAUAUAUUCUUUAAAAUGUAAUGUUCAUAGAAAUAGUGUUUUUAACCACUUUCUUUCGUAUUGUUUAUUACUUUCGGUGUCAUCUCCCGUAGUUGUCAUGCGCUAUUUUUUAACCUAAAUUAGAGGAUGUAAGUCGAGCUGAACCAAAGACAUUUACAUCCAAUUAGGAAUUUGUAGGUCAAGCACCUGCUGUACAUAGAACAACAACCCAUUACAGCUUUGACUAUGCAGAGCAGGUUCUCAGAUAUUUAUCUCAGUGAUAAGGGUUUAGCUAUUAUUUGGCCAAUGGUGUGGUAUCUCAUUUUCAACAUCAUCCAAAUGGAGAAGAAUCUGCAUACCUGCACGUUGACAACUGUGUUGGGCAGAGUAAAAACAAUGCAGUCAUUGGGUAUGAUUUACAAAAACAGGGUUGAAGUACAUCACUUAUGCACUGCAUAUUGACACAUGAGAAUAUUAGAAUAACAAGACAAUGUAACUUUUAUUAUUUUUUCAAUACAAGUAAUCAGAAUUCUCAUUAGUCUUAUAGAAAUAGUUCUGGCUUAAAUCUGUUCACUUACUUCUCUAAAUGUCAUGGAUUAAAGGCAAUCAGUUCAAUAAAUUGUAUGUAAUUCUAUGUUUAAGGGUCUGAUGUAUUCUGAAGGGGCUACAUAGAGAAAUAGCAUUAACUUAAAUGGAAGCAGGUGAAAUAAAGUUCAGUCCUGUCUGAGAUUUGGUCUGUGGAAGACCAAAUGGAGGCAGCACACAUCCUUUGUGGAUUGAUGACCUUGGCAAACUGGUUAUAUUCUUUGACUGGUUGGAGUACACCAAGAGACCCCUGAAGUCCAUUCCAAACUUGAGGAAAUAUCAUCACUUCAGGUAUAACAAAAGUAUUACAGACAGUAUCACUGCCUGUUAUGUAAUUCUAUGAACAGAAGUCAAAAAUAUUUUUAGUCAUUAUUUCCACAUAUUCAGAUGUGAGUUUUGAUGUUCAAGUUAAUUUGCAUAAUUUAUUCCAAACACUAAGUAUUGUACAAAAACUUUUCAGUAUACUGAUAUGUGAUCUUUAUAAACUAAAUCUAAGAUUUGAGAAUGAUCCGUUACUGAGCUGAUGAAAACGUGUAUCAAUUUUUAUUGACAAUUAUUUAUUCAAUAGAAACAUGUUUAUGUGAAAUAAGGCUACCAGUGAUUUCGAGUGAUAAACUGUGGUUUUAGCAAAUGAGUGAUGGAAGGGUGCUGCACCCAGUCUUUUGUUUGUAGAACUCUUCUGCCAUAAUAGAGACCACUAUAUGAUUAUUAAUUAUUAAUACAAACUUUAAAAAAGCUGGCAGUUGAAGCCUAUAAAUGCUUGAGUUAAAGACAUUUAUAAUAUUGUUUGUCAAAAUUAAUAGUUACUUCACAGUCUGUACCUUAGCAACCUUUCAGUUUUUCUUUAAUAUCUUCAUUUUUAAAACCUUUUAUGAACCCUAUAAACAUUUUAGCUUUAACUUUUACCCUAUGAAUAAGCAUCAAGAAUACCAUUUGUCAUGUACUAUGUGACCAAUUGCACUUCUUGAAACUACAUAAUGAUGUGUACAUGCUAAGUAGUUAGUAUGUUAAAUUAAUUGUUUUCAUUUUGUAAAUGUGCCCAUUUAUUAACUGAUCUUUUUAUACAAUAGUGUAAAUUAUGCAGUAUUGUUAUGUUUAUUAAAUUAAGAGUAUAUUAA